GAAGCUGCGGCAGCGACGCUUAUGCGUUGUUGGGUAGGGGAGCGUUCUGUAAGCCUGUGAAGGUGGCCUGUGAGGGUUGCUGGAGGUAUCAGAAGUGCGAAUGCUGACAUAAGUAACGAUAAAGCGGGUGAAAAGCCCGCUCGCCGGAAGACCAAGGGUUCCUGUCCAACGUUAAUCGGGGCAGGGUGAGUCGACCCCUAAGGCGAGGCCGAAAGGCGUAGUCGAUGGGAAACGGGUUAAUAUUCCCGUACUUGGUGUUACUGCGAAGGGGGGACGGAGAAGGCUAUGUUGGCCGGGCGACGGUUGUCCCGGUUUAAGCGUGUAGGCUGGUUUUCCAGGCAAAUCCGGAAAAUCAAGGCUGAGGCGUGA
rnacentral:rRNA from 1 species